ACUAGGGAUCUUUCCACCGCCAAACCUCAACACAACAGUCAAAGCACCGACAUUUGUUCUCUUACCAUCUUCUUACUCUCUCAAACACCAAACCUACAAACAAAGGAUCUUUAAUGGCGGUGAAAGUCUCCAACAACGCCUAGGGGGUUUCGAUGAUGAUGAACGGCGACAACGAGGAUUCCGAUCUAGGGUUCCGACGACCAUUCCAUAGGGUACGAUGAGGGCCAGGAGACACUAAUCAGCAACCGGUAGGUCAAGUGUUGACAUCACAUUCUGCGGCUUACGUCGGUGUUUACGACAGUCACGUUGGGCCUGGAGCGUCGAGAUUCAUCACGAAGCAUCUCUUCAGUACCUACAGAGCUUAUUUGUUGUUUGAUUGUAAGAUAUUAAGUCUGGAAGAUGUGAAGUGUCUUGAUUCAUCACUAAUCAUCUCUUCUCUUACCUACAGAACCUAAAGAACCGCCAUCCGAGUUGGGGUUGGAUAAUCAGCAACUAAUAAGUGAAACUGGAACGAAUCUACAUUUGUAAGUUUUGAUAUGUGUUUGUGAUUGUAAUAAUUAUAUUUAUUUGAUCUACAUUAGUUGAUUUGAUUAUUAUUUUUUUUGUUGUGAAUGAAGAAGAUCUUCUGUACAGGGAUUACCUUAAAAUUUCACCAUCACCACCUAUUCACCUACUGGAGUUGUGAAUUUUCUCUUUGAUUACUUAUUGUUUCUUUAUUGUUAAUAACAUGUUACUGUUUAUGAUUGUAGCCUUUUGUUUUAUCAGUUUGUUAAGUUUUAUAUAUGAGCUUACGUGUAUUCUCCAAAAGUUGCAAAUGUUAGGGUUUGGUUGUCCGUGUUGUAAUAACAGCUAAGGGUAAAGGUGUAAGUUAGAAAGUUAGCAUCGGUCUUCAUCGUCGUCUAUUGGUAUAUUUGCUGUCAGAAUGUCUAAUAUGAAUUCGUAUUCUGUCCUGUUUAGGAUGGUUAUUAAUUUUUCCAGUGGAUUUAGUAGUUUUAUGACCUUAAAAGUAUGGAUUGUAUGAUUGAGUCAUUUGGGGAAGGAGUUGUAAAACAGCACGUCAAGUCAUCAGCACUUAGUUGUGGUCACUUAUGUGGGUUCUACCCUUCAUAUGGAACAUCGUUUCAACAUUCAACCAGCAGGCAAUCCACCAUGCCGAUGCACUACAAACCUGAUGGGAAGAAGAAGGAAGGGAACGCUGCUAGAUACAUCUCUAGAUCACAAGUUGUCAAGUAUCUUCAUGUUAGUUAAUCCGUUUUCAGGUAUUGUUUUUAAUUCAAUCUUAUGACAGUGACGGUUCGGUUUAGAACUGUGAAAUCAUUCAAACCAGUCAUCGGUUUAGUUUCCUGGUCGGGUUUUUUCUUUAUCUUUCGGUUGGUUGGUUUCAAAAAUUUCAAACCGUAGUGAACGGUUUAGUUUGCGGUUUAUACCGAAAACCGACCGUGUAAAACCGGACCGCAUCAUGAUAUUGAUAUAUAUAUGUAUAUACAUAUAAGACAUGUUUUAUAUUAGUUAUUAAAUUUAUAUGAAUACUAUCGACAUACUUGAAUUAAUACUGGUUGUAAGUUGGUGAGUAUUGGUUUAACAUAAGUACAAGCGGCCAAGUGGGCUUAAUUGAAAUGCAAUAUGAUGGUUGAAUUUUAAUUCAAAGCUGUGAACUAUGAAGUCAGAAAUGCUAAAUAUUUAGAUUUGAAGCUUUUGGCCUUCCCAGUUCACACUCAUGCAGCCUACCACUUACACAGAUAACAUUUUCUAACUCGAAGUUAUAAUGUUUAUUAUGUAUAUUGUUUAGUCCACUAUUUGUUAUCCUUUUGAAGGUUUUUUAACUCCAAUCUAUAAUGUUUAGAUUUGAUAAUCUUUAAAGUCAAAUAAACAUAGUUACCCACAAAGAAAACGAGCUACAAUACCAUUUUUUUGAUGAAACAGCCCCAAGGUUUAAACCAUGGAACCAAACUGUUAGUCACGGUUACGUUUAAAUUUUCAAGGUUUGGUUUUAGUUUAGAAUGAUUAAAAACCGUUACCAACGGUUGGCUCAUGGUUUGACCUAAAAACCGUAAAACUGGACCGUGAACACCCCUAACAAUAAGUAUUUAGAAGCUUUUAAUAUUAAUUGGUCACUUUCACAAAAUUCAUACGGUAUCAGCUUUAGAGUAAACAGUUAGAAUAUAUUAAUAAGUGCCUUUGUCAUAAUAGUAUUAAAAGUGAUGCACUUUAGACUACAACUAUGUGCUUUGUUAUAACGGUUUAAACUGAUUAGUUAGUUUACGGUGUAACUUUAACAGAUUAAGAAAAUGAGCACCAACUUUUAUAGUUCAACAUAAUUUUAUUUUUAUGCGGUCAUAUUUAUCAUUGUAAGUUUAGAGGAUUAAUAUGCACAAAAUAAAAUUUAACAUAUCGUUUUGUGUCAACCGCACGGUAUUACAAUAUUUUUUAGAUAAUUACAAGCGAAUUUAUUUUUGAAAAUGACCCAUUUUAUCCUAAAAGCUUUUGACCCGUUACCCAACCUAGGCUACCCACCCACUUUAGCAAAACCGCUCAUAAGCUUUUUGAGAACGAGGUUGGAAAUAAGUACAAUGACUUUGUUGUUUUUAGUGAAAUUAUUUGUAAACACGAGAAAUGGAGUUUACAAGUGCAUCAUGACACAACACGUUCAUUUUCUGAGAUGGGUAAUGAAGAAUGUGGUGGUAGUUUUAAAAGAUCAAGGAAUACUGAAGAAGGAGGCUAUUCCACCCCAGAAACACCAACUAGUGGCGGUUCAACAAGUCAGCGUCCAAUAGGCAGGGAUGCUGCUAAAACAAAAGGAAAAAGUAAGUUUUAUGCUAAUAUACUUGCAGAAGAAAUUCAUGCAUUCAGGCUUACUAGAGAUAUUGAAGUUGAUAUCAUGAAAAAGAAAUACGAGUUGGAGCAGCAAAAGAAGCAAAAAAAAAAAAAGAGGAAAUAGAGCAAAAGAAAAUCGAGUUGGAGCAACACAAGAUACUCAAAAAGGAAGAAAUAAAGCUAAGGAAAAUGGAACUUACAAAUCUUACUACAUUGUUACAAAAGGAGCACUUGACCCAGGAGAAGAAAACAUGAAAUGUUUUCUAAUGUCGAAAUACUAUGGAAACUGAAUUUAGUUUGUUGUGUGCUUUGUUUUAGUUUGGUGUGAGUUUUAUGUUAUGUUUGUUUUAUGCAUUUGUAAGAUAUUCAGUUAUGAUGUGUGUUAUAAGUUGGAUGCUAGGAUUUUAUCUUA